GAAGGAUUCUGCAGGAGAACAAUGCCCUCAAAAGACGAAGCGGCAGCGAGUCGCACGAAGCGCUUCGCCAAUCAGCGUCCUGGUGGUGACUUCCCCUGCUGGCUUCGUCGAACCUACACGCGAACGAUCCCGAAGGACAUUCGCACGACACAGCAGCUGCAACGCUCGUUCGAGGAUAUACGAGAGCAGUGGCGGGAUCUGUGCGAGGCUUACACGCAUGCAAGGGCCAAAUCUUCUUGGCAUGUGGAGUCCGCCAUGGAGGAGGUUGUUCCACAUGGUACUCGCAGUGCGGUAGAGCGCCUGGUGAGCCAGCUGAAGUCGGUGAAGCAGGAGUUACUGGCUCACCUGUCGAAGCUCUCUGAGGCACUCGCCGGACCCGCUGCACCGCUGCCGACUGGGGCCUCCGCCUCCGCGCUGCCUGGCUGGGUGAGUGACUUGAUGGGGUGCAGCGACGCCUCCAGUGCGCGCGCGGUUCGCGUGGAGCAGAACUCGAAAGCGAUGCAGAGCUACCUGCAGGUGGUUUGGCUGGCGCGGCGAGUGUGGGUGUGGUCCCUCUGCUUUGCGAGCGUUGCGAUGGACCUGGAGCUGCUGUCGGGCAGCGUCAGUGUCGCCGCGGAGCUCUUCUUCGGUAACGCGUUUGACACAGCCAUAGCACCCGAACUAGGUGAAGCGAAUCGCGCACAGAGGGACAACCUUGUUCUUCACAGCGCCUACAACAUGGGCGGCUCCAUUUCCGAAGCACUCCUCUAUGCCGCGGUGGAAGCAGCAGCAGCGGAAGGGCCAUCUGAAAGUCCAGCCGGCAACGCGAUUGCUCGGCUUGACGAUUCCGAUUUGCCGCCGCACUUCGCCGUUAAAGUGGAUGAGGAAGCGUGUGAGGUGGCUGCCUUUUUCGGCUGCAGUGUGUCGGCGGCGUAUCGCGCAGCCGACACCGUAGCAGAAGUGCCCUCAACGCACAUAGAUCCGCACGCGGCGGUGAUGAAGGGCGAAGGCCGCACCCCUUCGCCAGAGACCUCUUCAGCACCGCCGGUGCGCGACCUGUUUUGGGUACACGCUGCUGCGCUGUGCUACAGCGUGAUGGUGCGCGAUGACACAAGCGCGGCACGUUUGCUUUCGGUCUUCGAGACGGCGAAGCGUUCCUUUUCAGUCGAGGAAGCGGAGGGGAGCACGGAGGGCACUGGACCCUCAUCCCCGACCACUGCGAAGGCAGCCGCCGAGCAGCCUAACCCGUUGCAGCAUUCACCGGUGCUACAGGCUGCCACCGCAUUCGUACUGCGUGCGGCGAAGCUGAUAGCCGAUGAGGACUACAACGCUGUUCAGCAACUUCUUCACCGCGCUGGCUUCGGCAGCUGCAACGGCAGGCGCUCUGAGAGUGGUGCGCAGGGCUGCUCGAGCUCGUCGCUGGCCGCACUGUGCCCACAGGGUGUUCUGCUGCGCUUCCUGAUUCGCCUUUUGGCAGAACAUGUCGUGCGACGGCAAUGGACAGAGCGUGGGCUGGGGCAGGCCUUUCGACCCAUGGAACCGUUCGAUGUCGGUGUCGAUGCCGCCGCGGCGGGGCCAGGCAUCCCGAAGGCUUCUAAUCGGCAUCGGCUGGCGUGCGCGCUGGCGACCCGUGCGUCAAGUAAUGAUGCGGCAGAGCGUUCCCAACCCGGCAGCUGUGUAACCGCAUGGUCGCUCGUCGACGGCACGCAACAUCUCUGCGACGCUUUGCAGAUAGCCGCCCUGCGCAACACGGGCGGCGACUGGCCACUGCCCCCGGCACUGCUGAGGCAUGCCUUUGCGUAGGACUCCGCUGAAAAGGUGCGUGGUCCCGCUUCCGAGCCCAAGAGCUGCGGGUGCCUUCGCCGCUCAGCACUCUUCAGGGGGACUCGAACUCAGCAGUCUACAUGGCAGUGAGACGGUGCUGUGUGCCUUGGUCGAUGCGAGCACUCACGUGGCAGGUAAUGGCGGUGCCAUGGGCUGGUGCGCACAGUGCAUUGUGAGCACAGGGCAACCCGAGCACAGAC
rnacentral:misc_RNA from 1 species